rnacentral:rRNA from 1 species
UACAGAGGUCUCAAGCGUUGUUCGGAUUCAUUGGGCGUAAAGGGUGCGUAGGCGGUGCGGUAAGUCGGGUGUGAAAUUUCGAGGCUUAACUUCGAAACUGCAUUCGAUACUGCCGUGCUAGAGGACUGGAGAGGAGACUGGAAUUUACGGUGUAGCGGUGAAAUGCGUAGAUAUCAGGAGGAACACCUAUUGCGAAGGCAGCUCGCUGGGACGUAACUGACGCUGAGACGCGAAAGCGUGGGGAGCAAACAGG